GUCUCAGGCCCGAUCAGCCUGAAGGCGCCCGAUCUCGUCUGAUCUCGGAAGCUAAGCAGGGUCGGGCCUGGUUAGUAUCUUGGAUGGGAGACCACCUGGGAAUCCCGGGUGCUCGAGGCU
rnacentral:rRNA from 1 species